rnacentral:rRNA from 1 species
GACGUAGGGCGCGAGCGUUGUCCGGAUUUAUUGGGCGUAAAGAGCUCGUAGGCGGCUUGUUGCGUCGGCUGUGAAAACCCAUGGCUCAACCGUGGGCUUGCAGCCGAUACGGGCAGGCUAGAGUUCGGUAGGGGAGACUGGAAUUCCUGGUGUAGCGGUGAAAUGCGCAGAUAUCAGGAGGAACACCGGUGGCGAAGGCGGGUCUCUGGGCCGGUACUGACGCUGAGACGCGAAAGCGUGGGGAGCGAACAGG